UACGAAGGGUGCAAACGUUGUUCGGAAUUACUGGGCGUAAAGGGCUCGUAGGCGGCCAACUAAGUCAUACGUGAAAUCCCUCGGCUUAACCGGGGAACUGCGUCUGAUACUGGAUGGCUUGAGUUCGGGAGAGGGAUGCGGAAUUCCAGGUGUAGCGGUGAAAUGCGUAGAUAUCGGGAGGAACACCAGUGGCGAAGGCGGCGACCUGGACGGACACUGACGCUGAGACGCGAAAGCGUGGGGAGCAAACAGG
rnacentral:rRNA from 1 species